rfam:Parcubacteria (Giovannonibacteria) bacterium GW2011_GWF2_42_19 TV11_C0033, whole genome shotgun sequence.
GGAGAGGUCGCAUAGUGGCCUAGUGCGCUCGCUUGGAAAGCGAGUAAGGGGUCAAACCCUUCGCGAGUUCGAAUCUCGCCCUCUCCG